AAUGUACUCCCUCCGUACGGAAAUACUUGUCGGGAAAAUGAAUGUAUCUAGACAUAUUUUAAUUCUAGAUAUAUCUAAUUUUAUUCAUUUGUACGAUAAGUAUUUCUUGACGGAGGGAGUAGUAG
rfam:Triticum aestivum genome assembly, contig: Triticum_aestivum_CS42_TGACv1_scaffold_050802_1BS